CACGCCCUAAACGAUGUACACUAGUUGUUGUGAGGCUCGACCUUGCAGUAAUGCAGUUAACACAUUAAGUGUACCGCCUGGGGAGUACGGUCGCAAGAUUAAAACUCAAAGGAAUUGACGGGGACCCGCACAAGCGGUGGAUGAUGUGGUUUAAUUCGAUGCAACGCGAAAAACCUUACCCACCUUUGACAUGUACGGAAUCCUUUAGAGAUAGAGGAGUGCUCGAAAGAGAGCCGUAACACAGGUGC
rnacentral:rRNA from 1 species